CGGGCUNGAGAGGGUGACCGGCCACACUGGGACUGAGACACGGCCCAGACUCUACGGGAGGCAGCAGUGGGGAAUAUUGCACAAUGGGCGCAAGCCUGAUGCAGCGACGCCGCGUGAGGGAUGACGGCUUCGGGUUGUAAACCUCUUUCAGUAGGGAAGAAGCGAGAGUGACGGUACCUGCAGAAGAAGCGCCGGCUAAUACGUGCCAGCAGCCGCGGUAAUACGUAGGGCGCGAGCGUUAUCCGGAAUUAUUGGGCGUAAAGAGCUCGUAGGCGGUUUGUCGCGUCUGCCGUGAAAGUCCGGGGCUUAACUCCGGAUCUGCGGUGGGUACGGGCAGACUAGAGUGCAGUAGGGGAGACUGGAAUUCCUGGUGUAGCGGUGAAAUGCGCAGAUAUCAGGAGGAACACCGAUGGCGAAGGCAGGUCUCUGGGCUGUAACUGACGCUGAGGAGCGAAAGCAUGGGGAGCGAACAGGAUUAGAUACCCUGGUAGUCCAUGCCGUAAACGUUGGGCACUAGGUGUGGGGGACAUUCCACGUUUUCCGCGCCGUAUGAACGAUUAAGUG
rnacentral:rRNA from 1 species